CCCAUAAAUAAUAAAAAGUCUGUUUAGGUUCCUUAACUUUAUUUAAAGUAUCGGUUUGAUCUUUUCUGUUAAUUUAAUUCAAAAAAACGUUAAGUUUAGAAAUCAAACUAAUACUAAUUAAAUAAGUUAAAAGACCAAACUAGUACUAAUUAAAUAAGAUAAGGACCAAAAUUUAACCUUUUUUGAAUUAAAUUAACAGAAAGGACCAAACCAAUACUUUCAAUAAAGCUAAGGAACCAAAAUGGACCUUUUAUUACUUAUGGGA
rfam:Medicago truncatula strain A17 chromosome 5, whole genome shotgun sequence.